AGGUUCAAAAAUUAAGUUCCUGUGAAAAAGAUCUCGGAAUUUUACAUGAGCCAAGAUGUGCCUGCUUUAAAAAGUCAGUGUGGGGAGUUCCCUUAUGGUGCUGCAGGUUAGGAUCCAGCAUUUGUCAUUGCAGUGGCCUGGGUCACUGCUAUGGUAUGGGUUCGAUCCCUGGCUUGUAAACUUUCACAUGCUGCGGGCGCAGUCAAAAAAAAAAAAAAGUCAGUGUGGUUUGUCUUAGGACAAAUUAACAGAGUAUAAUUUAUAACUAUAGUUCAAUUUAUAAUUUAUAUAGUUUUGAUUUCUAAAGGCCAAAAUUAUAAAGUAUAACUGAAAUAAUACAUCCAUUUCUGGAUACCAAAAUGUGGUGAUGGGUGCUGACAAAUAUAAUCACCCAGGAAGAUAAGGCGGCUGAAUAAACCUAAAAAUCAUCUGUUUCAGGAAUGAUCAGGCUACUGAAGCUAAAGAAAAACGAUUAAGGGGAGUCAUGACAGCUGUUUAAAAACCUGAAGGGUUUUCAUAAGCAGCAAAGUUUAUACAUUUGUGUGUUUCUCCCAAGCAGAGCCAGACCAAUAUAUGAAAGUAACUGGCAGGAAGACUUAACAUGUGACAAUCUGCAUCCAUUUUAAAUAUUCCACAUAACCAAAUGCUCUCUGAGGUUGUGAAGUGAGUCUGUGAUUGCUCCUUUCAAACAUGCAGCGUGGUUUCCAUGUAACGUGGUUUUAUUGAAAGAAAAAUUUUCAGCUGCAGGGACUAGAUCACACUUGACCAUGUGUCACUGUGUUUAGUCACUUGCAGAUAAACAUGCUGCAAAAGUGAUCAGAUAUCUCCUUUUAUGCAAGGCCUGCCCACAUUCUGAGGUCUGUCCAGUAUGGAAGUGUCUCCUGCCCACUGUUUCAGCUACAAGUGGCAGAGGGGACGUGAAGCAGGGGGCAGGGGGCACGCUCAGCUCCAGACCCCAUAUCCCCAACCACUACAUUUCUUCUUUGUUGUUCAGAAAAAGUGGACAUUUGGAGGCCAGGAGGCAGCAUACAGCGCUGUUGCAAAAGCUGUUAUAAGAGAAGAGGAGAUGGGAGACUGGCAGAGAGGGACAGGCUUGCAAGGGGGCAGCAUUUUGAAAAUGCUGUAACUUUUCCUGGAAUCAGAAUGUUUCCUUACCCAGGGCCUACUGGGGCCUAGUAUUUCCUUACCAAUGCGUCCUAGAGGCUUUCCAGCCCUGAACAAGGCUUUGUAUUGAGGGUUAAUGUCUUAAACCUCAGCUGAGAGUACUGAACAAUUUCCUGGGGACAAGAAAGGACCCAGAGUGGGGACAGGCUGCGUGGAUCCUCUGCUCAGCAUCCUUUGAGCAAAGACGCUGAGAGAGGAAGUGGAAAGUGAGCAAGAAAUGCUACAGUGACUCAGAAACUGAGUGGAUUUAAUUCUGCCAUAUGGUAGCUUUGUCUUGCCCCCUCUCAACUGAUUAUUCCUGUUGCUCUCUACUUCAUCUCCCUGGUCCUUUUCCUUCCAUUUCCUCUUAUUUUCCCAGUUGACCCUCUCCUACCUGUUCCUGCACAGUAGAAGGGUGUAACUCCAAGGUACAGGGGUGCCCUGUCACAGGUGGCAAAUGGUAAAACCUGCCACAACUAGUGUUAACGAACAGCACCCCAGGCAUGAGGUGCUAUACGACAUAUAAGGAGUGAGACAGAUGAGGAAUAAGACUAGGAGGCUCACAGUCUGGUAAGACCGGUGUGAUGCACAUGAAGACACACAAAGGAAAAACAAGCAGCAUAGUCUGAUGGGAACUUUAUGUGCCAACUUGGCUAGGCUACAGUGGCCAGCUGUUUGCUCAAACACUCAUCUAGAUGUUGCUGUGAAGGUAUUCGUGUGUGCGAUGAACAUUAUAAUAAGAAAAGCAGAUUACCCUCUGUAAUGUGGGUGAAGGCCUUCACAGUAAAGCCUGAAGUUUCUUGAGGAAGACAGAAUUCUGUCUCAAGACUAGAAGAUAAAAAUCCUGCCUGAGUGUCCAGUCUGCUGGCCUGCCCUAUGGAUUGAGCAUUUAAGAUUGCAACAUCACCACCUGAAUUUCCACCUGUCCUACAGAUUUCAGACUUGUUUCUAUAAUCACCAAAGCCAAUGCCCUAAAAUCAAUCUUAAUCUCUCUCUCCCCCUCCUCCACAUAUCCAAUCAGUUCUGUUUCUCUGAAGAACCCUAACUAAUACACUAGUAAACAAGGCCAAGACCAUUUAUGCUGCCCAAUUAAGAGGGUCAAUGAUUAGCAGCUGCUCUCUCUGUUCCUUGAAACCAGACAAGUUCUGUCUCCAGGCCCAAAGAAUAUUCACUUACCUGAUAUUCACUCACUUAAUAUAAGCCAGUUGAAAGUCACUGGCUUUAGUUUAAUAAAUUCUUCUGUAUUAUAUACGCAAGAGUUCAUUCUAUUUCCUUUUUCUUUUUCCUCUUUGUUUUUUUAUUUAUUUAUUUAUUUAUUUUGCUUUUUUAGGGCUGUGCUUGUGGCAUAUGGAGCAGCCCUAGAAAAGGCAAAAAAGACAAAAAAAAAAAAAAUCAACCAUCACCUUAAACAAGUGAUCACAGUGAAUAUUAUCACCAAUAAAAUAGACAUCACAUGUCUCCUGAAAUGAUCAUAGCAGAGUUUAAGUCUAAUCUCACAGAAUCAUCAGGCAAAUCCAAAUUGAGGGGCAUUCUUGAAAAAAGCAGAAGUCUGUAUUUUUUAAAUUCUGAAAGAUGAAAAAAUCAAGGCACGGUUCUGGAUUAAAGGAGACUGAAGAGGGCAAACUAAAUGCAGUACAUGAUUCUGGGAUUGGAUCCUAGACUAGGGGAGUAAAAAGGCAUUUUUUUUCCUAGAAAGGAAAUCAGUGGGGCAAAUGACCAAAUUUGAGUGCCUGUAGAUUAGACACAAAUAUUUUCUCAAUAUUUCCUAAUUCUGAGGAAUGCCUUUUUAUUUUUAAGAAAUACACACUAAAGUUCUUGGUGCUAAAGGUACAUCAUGUCUAUAAGCUUAUUCUUUUUUUUGUUAUAAGCCUAUUCUCAAACGUUUCAGAAAAAAAUAGGACACACGAUACAGCAAAUAUGGUGAAAUUUUAGCAUCUUGGGCAUCUGAGUUAAAGGUUAAAAAAGAAAUCUUUAUACCAUUUUUUUCAGACUGCAACUUCAAGAUAAAAGUUGUUUAAAAUGAAUAAAAUAUUAAUAUAUCAAAAAGUGAAUAUAUUUUUAAUCUAGAAAAUAAAGAAAAUAGAACUAGCCUUUUUGAUAUGGUGAAUAGUAUCCAUUUUAAGAUUAUGGAAUUCAGAUGGAGAGCCCUAAAAUGUCAUUCUGACCUCUGUACUUAAAGCUUCUAGGACAUCAGAAAAACUAGAGCGUGGGAAGUAAGCAAAUGCGGUCUGGAGCUAUCCCAUAAAAAACAGUCACUGUUACUUAAGAGUUGCUUUUUCAUAAAAAAUAAAAUCUCCU
rnacentral:lncRNA from 1 species